rnacentral:tRNA from 1 species
GGUGAGAUGGCCGAGCGGUCCAAGGCGCCAGACUAAGGAAAGACCAAGGCAGUUGCUGCCUUUCAGAGUGGGAUUCGAACCCACGCCUGUAUCUGGUCUCUCCCGAGGCGUGGGUUCGAAUCCCACUCUCAUCA